GCUAUACAUGCAGUCGAACGCUUCUUUCCUCCCGAGUGCUUGCACUCAAUUGGAAAGAGGAGUGGCGGACGGGUGAGUAACACGUGGGUAACCUACCCAUCAGAGGGGGAUAACACUUGGAAACAGGUGCUAAUACCGCAUAACAGUUUAUGCCGCAUGGCAUAAGAGUGAAAGGCGCUUUCGGGUGUCGCUGAUGGAUGGACCCGCGGUGCAUUAGCUAGUUGGUGAGGUAACGGCUCACCAAGGCCACGAUGCAUAGCCGACCUGAGAGGGUGAUCGGCCACACUGGGACUGAGACACGGCCCAGACUCCUACGGGAGGCAGCAGUAGGGAAUCUUCGGCAAUGGACGAAAGUCUGACCGAGCAACGCCGCGUGAGUGAAGAAGGUUUUCGGAUCGUAAAACUCUGUUGUUAGAGAAGAACAAGGACGUUAGUAACUGAACGUCCCCUGACGGUAUCUAACCAGAAAGCCACGGCUAACUACGUGCCAGCAGCCGCGGUAAUACGUAGGUGGCAAGCGUUGUCCGGAUUUAUUGGGCGUAAAGCGAGCGCAGGCGGUUUCUUAAGUCUGAUGUGAAAGCCCCCGGCUCAACCGGGGAGGGUCAUUGGAAACUGGGAGACUUGAGUGCAGAAGAGGAGAGUGGAAUUCCAUGUGUAGCGGUGAAAUGCGUAGAUAUAUGGAGGAACACCAGUGGCGAAAGCGGCUCUCUGGUCUGUAACUGACGCUGAGGCUCGAAAGCGUGGGGAGCAAACAGAUUAGAUACCCUGGUAGUCCACGCCGUAACGAUGAGUGCUAGUGUUGGAGGGU
rnacentral:rRNA from 1 species